rnacentral:rRNA from 1 species
UAGGGAAUCUUCCGCAAUGGGCGAAAGCCUGACGGAGCAACGCCGCGUGAGUGAUGAAGGUCUUCGGAUCGUAAAACUCUGUUAUUAGGGAAAAACAAAUGUGUAAGUAACUAUGCACGUCUUGACGGUACCUAAUCAGAAAGCCACGGCUAACUACGUGCCAGCAGCCGCGGUAAUACGUAGGUGGCAAGCGUUAUCCGGCAUUAUUGGGCGUAAAGCGCGCGUAGGCGGUUUUUUAAGUCUGAUGUGAAAGCCCACGGCUCAACCGUGGAGGGUCAUUGGAAACUGGAAAACUUGAGUGCAGAAGAGGAAAGUGGAAUUCCAUGUGUAGCGGUGAAAUGCGCAGAGAUAUGGAGGAACACCAGUGGCGAAGGCGACUUUCUGGUCUGUAACUGAAGCUGAUGUGCGAAAGCGUGGGGAUCAAACAGG